rnacentral:rRNA from 1 species
CCCCUGUCAUUUGCGAACAAACCUUAUUAUUGAAUAGAUGAUGAGCUGAUUGUAGCGAAAGAGGAAGGGACGGCUAACUCUGUGC